rnacentral:rRNA from 1 species
UACGUAGGGUGCGAGCGUUGUCCGGAAUUAUUGGGCGUAAAGGGCUCGUAGGCGGUUUGUCGCGUCGGGAGUGAAAACCCAGGGCUUAACCCUGGGCUGGCUUUCGAUACGGGCAGACUAGAGGUAUGCAGGGGAGAACGGAAUUCCUGGUGUAGCGGUGAAAUGCGCAGAUAUCGGGAGGAACACCUAUGGCGAAAGCAGGCUUCUGGGCCACCACUGACGCUGAUCUGCGAAAGCUAGGGGAGCAAACAGG